rnacentral:rRNA from 1 species
GGGUUGUGAGGUUAAGCGACUAAGCGUACACGGUGGAUGCCCUGGCAGUCAGAGGCGAUGAAGGACGUGCUAAUCUGCGAUAAGCGUCGGUAAGGUGAUAUGAACCGUUAUAACCGGCGAUUUCCGAAUGGGGAAACCCAGUGUGUUUCGACACACUAUCAUUAACUGAAUCCAUAGGUUAAUGAGGCGAACCGGGGGAACUGAAACAUCUAAGUACCCCGAGGAAAAGAAAUCAACCGAGAUUCCCCCAGUAGCGGCGAGCGAACGGGGAGGAGCCCAGAGCCUGAACCAGUGUGUGUGUUAGUGGAAGCGUCUGGAAAGGCGCGCGAUACAGGGUGACAGCCCCGUACACAAAAAUGCACAUGCUGUGAGCUCGAUGAGUAGGGCGGGACACGUGGUAUCCUGUCUGAAUAUGGGGGGACCAUCCUCCAAGGCUAAAUACUCCUGACUGACCGAUAGUGAACCAGUACCGUGAGGGAAAGGCGAAAAGAACCCCGGCGAGGGGAGUGAAAAAGAACCUGAAACCGUGUACGUACAAGCAGUGGGAGCACGCUUCGGCGUGUGACUGCGUACCUUUUGUAUAAUGGGUCAGCGACUUAUAUUCUGUAGCAAGGUUAACCGAAUAGGGGAGCCGAAGGGAAACCGAGUCUUAACUGGGCGUUAAGUUGCAGGGUAUAGACCCGAAACCCGGUGAUCUAGCCAUGGGCAGGUUGAAGGUUGGGUAACACUAACUGGAGGACCGAACCGACUAAUGUUGAAAAAUUAGCGGAUGACUUGUGGCUGGGGGUGAAAGGCCAAUCAAACCGGGAGAUAGCUGGUUCUCCCCGAAAGCUAUUUAGGUAGCGCCUUGUGAACUCAUCUCCGGGGGUAGAGCACUGUUUCGGCAAGGGGGUCAUCCCGACUUACCAACCCGAUGCAAACUGCGAAUACCGGAGAAUGUUAUCACGGGAGACACACGGCGGGUGCUAACGUCCGUCGUGAAGAGGGAAACAACCCAGACCGCCAGCUAAGGUCCCAAAGUCAUGGUUAAGUGGGAAACGAUGUGGGAAGGCCCAGACAGCCAGGAUGUUGGCUUAGAAGCAGCCAUCAUUUAAAGAAAGCGUAAUAGCUCACUGGUCGAGUCGGCCUGCGCGGAAGAUGUAACGGGGCUAAACCAUGCACCGAAGCUGCGGCAGCGACACUAUGUGUUGUUGGGUAGGGGAGCGUUCUGUAAGCCUGUGAAGGUGUGCUGUGAGGCACGCUGGAGGUAUCAGAAGUGCGAAUGCUGACAUAAGUAACGAUAAAGCGGGUGAAAAGCCCGCUCGCCGGAAGACCAAGGGUUCCUGUCCAACGUUAAUCGGGGCAGGGUGAGUCGACCCCUAAGGCGAGGCCGAAAGGCGUAGUCGAUGGGAAACAGGUUAAUAUUCCUGUACUUGGUGUUACUGCGAAGGGGGGACGGAGAAGGCUAUGUUGGCCGGGCGACGGUUGUCCCGGUUUAAGCGUGUAGGCUGGUUUUCCAGGCAAAUCCGGAAAAUCAAGGCUGAGGCGUGAUGACGAGGCACUACGGUGCUGAAGCAACAAAUGCCCUGCUUCCAGGAAAAGCCUCUAAGCAUCAGGUAACAUCAAAUCGUACCCCAAACCGACACAGGUGGUCAGGUAGAGAAUACCAAGGCGCUUGAGAGAACUCGGGUGAAGGAACUAGGCAAAAUGGUGCCGUAACUUCGGGAGAAGGCACGCUGAUAUGUAGGUGAAGUCCCUCGCGGAUGGAGCUGAAAUCAGUCGAAGAUACCAGCUGGCUGCAACUGUUUAUUAAAAACACAGCACUGUGCAAACACGAAAGUGGACGUAUACGGUGUGACGCCUGCCCGGUGCCGGAAGGUUAAUUGAUGGGGUCAGCGCAAGCGAAGCUCUUGAUCGAAGCCCCGGUAAACGGCGGCCGUAACUAUAACGGUCCUAAGGUAGCGAAAUUCCUUGUCGGGUAAGUUCCGACCUGCACGAAUGGCGUAAUGAUGGCCAGGCUGUCUCCACCCGAGACUCAGUGAAAUUGAACUCGCUGUGAAGAUGCAGUGUACCCGCGGCAAGACGGAAAGACCCCGUGAACCUUUACUAUAGCUUGACACUGAACAUUGAGCCUUGAUGUGUAGGAUAGGUGGGAGGCUUUGAAGUGUGGACGCCAGUCUGCAUGGAGCCGACCUUGAAAUACCACCCUUUAAUGUUUGAUGUUCUAACGUGGACCCGUAAUCCGGGUUGCGGACAGUGUCUGGUGGGUAGUUUGACUGGGGCGGUCUCCUCCUAAAGAGUAACGGAGGAGCACGAAGGUUGGCUAAUCCUGGUCGGACAUCAGGAGGUUAGUGCAAUGGCAUAAGCCAGCUUGACUGCGAGCGUGACGGCGCGAGCAGGUGCGAAAGCAGGUCAUAGUGAUCCGGUGGUUCUGAAUGGAAGGGCCAUCGCUCAACGGAUAAAAGGUACUCCGGGGAUAACAGGCUGAUACCGCCCAAGAGUUCAUAUCGACGGCGGUGUUUGGCACCUCGAUGUCGGCUCAUCACAUCCUGGGGCUGAAGUAGGUCCCAAGGGUAUGGCUGUUCGCCAUUUAAAGUGGUACGCGAGCUGGGUUUAGAACGUCGUGAGACAGUUCGGUCCCUAUCUGCCGUGGGCGCUGGAGAACUGAGGGGGGCUGCUCCUAGUACGAGAGGACCGGAGUGGACGCAUCACUGGUGUUCGGGUUGUCAUGCCAAUGGCACUGCCCGGUAGCUAAAUGCGGAAGAGAUAAGUGCUGAAAGCAUCUAAGCACGAAACUUGCCCCGAGAUGAGUUCUCCCUGACCCUUUAAGGGUCCUGAAGGAACGUUGAAGACGACGACGUUGAUAGGCCGGGUGUGUAAGCGCAGCGAUGCGUUGAGCUAACCGGUACUAAUGAACCGUGAGGCUUAACCUUACAA